AAUUUUGGACAAUGGGGGAAACCCUGAUCCAGCCAUCCCGCGUGUAUGAUGAAGGCCUUCUGGUUGUAAAGCUCUUUCUGCGGGGAAGAUAAUGACGGUACCCGCAGAAGAAGCCUCGUCUAACUUCGUGCCAGCAGCCGCGGUAAUACGAAGGGGGCUAGCGUUGUUCGGAAUUACUGGGCGUAGAGGGCGCGUAGGCGGAUUUGCAAGUUAGGGGUGAAAUCCCGGGGCUCAACCCCGGAACUGCCUCUAAAACUGCUAAUCUAGAGUUCGGGAGAGGUGAGUGGAAUUCCGAGUGUAGAGGUGAAAUUCGUAGAUAUUCGGAGGAACACCAGUGGCGAAGGCGGCUCACUGGCCCGAAGCUGACGCUGAGGCGCGAAAGCGUGGGGAGCAAACAGG
rnacentral:rRNA from 1 species